GCGAUACUUCAGGUUGGACCAAAUGAUGUUUUCUUGGGAGAAGCAGAACACACCAAGCCGGCCUCCACGCAUGGUGGUGUCUAUGGUGACCCCAGAGUCAGCCACCAACUCGGAGCCUUCAUAAAAUCGCACUCUGCAGACAACACAGCCCAGGCUGGUCACCAUGAAGCUCAAACUGGAGUCAAGCACGCUGCUUGCCUGCCCCGGUCAGGAGAUGGCAAUUUGUACUCCUUUCUCAGUGCGCUACGUAAGAUGGCGUCAGUGUUGAUCUGCGAGCUUGAGGAGUGAGAAAGGAAGUACCUGGUCUAAAUUUCAAAGGUGCAGCCUAAGCCAUUGUAGCUUCUGCGGACAGUUGUUUGCAUCUGGUUUUCAAACAGUCCUCUAGGGAAAUGAGGCAGCUUGCACUGGCUGCAUGAAGGUCGGUUCCUGCCACGUGUGGUACACACAGAGCAGCAAGGAGGCCAACAUAAAGUGAGAUACAGGCACUGCCUCCAUGGAGUUCACCAUCCAGCCGGGAAGAGACGGUAAGGGACUCGUUGCAGUGCAGUUUCGAAUGUCCAUGAAGGAGCCAACACCCAGGCUGAGCCGCAUCUCCCUUCACACUGGUGACCCUCAGCCCUCGAAUAAUCAGCACUGGCCGAUACCCCGCUGACCUCGCCCAUGGCUUUCCUGCUGUAACUCCACCGCGCCCCACACCUGUCCUCUGAGGACUUGGAAGUAUGCCUUUUCUCCCAGCAGAGAGCGAGUGCCCACUAGAGCGGACCCCACCGAGAGCUCAGGUUAGCCUGUUUCUGGCACAGUGCACCUGCUGACGUGCCCCCAGGGCUCCCCCAACUCUUGAUUCCCCACCUGAGCUGACCUGAUGGGGAGGACAUGAGUCACCCAGGAGGGAGCUUGUCCACAGGAACGUCCAUAUGUGAACUAAGUGCCGUAGGCGAGAACAGGCCUGAGAAGGAGGGUGAAGGGCCCAGAGGGGAGGUGAGUGACAGAACGGUCGCUACCUUGAGCUGGAUGCCAGGCUCGGCGACAGCGCGGAACGGCGUGGCCUGCCAGUACGUCUGCUCCGUCUGCUUCCACAUGACCACAUAGAAGCUGGAGCUGUCUUGGUAGCCAAAGAUGAAGCCGGCAUAGUCAUCGUCCGUCUGGGUGUUUACGUGGAAGGUCCCUUCAAAGUCAACUCCGUUAAACGCCGUGUACCCUGCAGGGACCACAAGAAGAUCAGAAAAGCUGACCGGCCCCAGGAGGAGCUGCGGAGAGCGGGUUCCAUGCACGUGCUGCGGAGGCCCUGGACAUACCCACUGCCAGGCCGGGGUCGCUGUUCAUGGUCUGGACAAUCUCCAUGCCCUGCAGAGAAAGUUGAAGGAGUUAAGGGCAAUCUGAGAGGGUGGGGAAGCUCAAGGAAGCCCAGAGCCUCCGCGGCGGGGAGCGCUCACGAGGCCUGGCCUCCACACAGCCUGCUUUAUCUGAGGAACUGCUCUACCUCGCUGGUGCUCGAACAAAGCACAGCCCUGGGAGGGGGAGAAAAGCUGAACAGAAAUGAUUUUGCUAAAAUGGGAAUUAAGAGUUCCUUGAAUCAGCUUACUUCUGAGAGAGCAUCACUUCUAACGCAUGUGACUUGCCGGGUGAGGCUAAAGGCUCGAAGCCUCUCUGUGCCUGCUUUUCGUAGUUUCACAACGAGGGGGGCAGGUGGGAGGCAGUCUGCUGGAGAGCUGGGGGGCAUGGCUCUCGGGCCAGACUGCUUCUGCCUGGGUCCCCAUUCCAGACUCUCCCUGCGGAGCUCCCGUGAGCCACCACUGCAGACUGAGGGGGCUCCAUGUCCUGUGUAGAACGGGCUCGCGGAAGCGCUAGGCCAGAGGCCAAGGGCAGCGCGCCCUCUCCUGUGUGGAGAGCUGCCCACCACCGGGCACCUACUUGGUUCAGCACCACCCAGUUGGGAUCGAUCUGCGCGUCCCCUUCAGGGUCCAGGACCACCGUCUGGUAGGCUCUGAAGUCAGUCAGGGUGACCUCUGCAUUCUCCGGGCAGACGUCGAUCCGAUCGAUGACCUGGUCCUGGUCAAAGUCGGUCUCACAGAUGUCUCCCACGCCGUCCCCUGAGUGGGGUGGGGUGGGGAGGAGGAGAGGAUCUGGCUCCCGUCCACACUGCCUGCACCACUGCUCCUUCACAGAGACAGGGCUGGGCAAGGAGCCGAAGGGAGCCCCCCCCUUCCAGGGCGACCAUCUUCAGCCCAUGCGGCCCCAGGCCCCACCCUGGAAUCUUCAGGGUGGGUUGGUGAACCCCACUGUAUGUGACCAAAAGAAUUUCCUGGGGACAGACUGGAAGGCAGCUGUUCAAAAUUGGUCUCAUAAGAAACUCUGAAUGUUCUCUGAGGACACUGGGGUUCACCAAGUGGUGGGUCUGAAGGCUGACCUUACAGAAGCAACAUCCAUAGCGCUUUCGCUGUAACAUAUGAAAAACCGGGAAAUUGUCACCAGAGGGUCUCUAAGACCGUACUUUCUGGUGAUCCUUAGGCUGAAUCCGGCUCAUGGUAUGAUUUGUUCCGUUGAUUUGUUAUUAAAAUAUUUCAGCUAAAUGCUACCUAGCUGUGGACGGCUGUGCCCUCACCGGCCCUCCAGGGUCCUCACGGUUCUGUCUCCUUUCUGGCUGGUGCACACUCUCCCUGUGGGCCUGGCCCCCGGCGGCCACUGAGGUGAUGAGCCCACUGAAGCCGUUCGCGGCUCUGCCCUUCCCUCUAUCCUGCUCCUUUCCUGUGGCCCCUGGUGAAAGCCCCUUGGGCAGGAGCACGUGGCUGCUCCCUUGUCGCAUGUGACCUCAUCCGGGGCUGCUGAGAAGCUGCAAAGCAGCUCUUCUGUGACAGAGUUAGGGGGUUGUGUCUGCCAGCUGUCCACUGUCCACACAAGCUGUGGCUGCUCAGGGAAGUCCUGGGAGAGGCGUCCCACUCCCACCCCAGGCGCCUGGUGGAAGGGAGCCU